GCGGGAAGCGGCGCUCCAGCUGGCUGCGUACGACGGCGCAACGGAUGGCGGCGCACUGCUCGUGCGUGCUGGCGCCGUUGGAUGAAGGGUGAGAAAGAUGGAUCAACAAGAAGCGCCUACAGGAGUUGGAGAGUUUCUACAAGAUUUUGGUGUUCCCAUGGUCCUGUGACGACUACUUCAAGAAGUUCGAUAUACCGAAGCACCCAAGUACCAGUGGUCACGCACUGUUCUUAGAGGACAACCAUGGUAUGAGGUAGUAGUGUGUAUUCCAGAAUGUUCUAGAAAACCAUCUUGGCCACAUUGGAUGUUCCAUGCUGAAGGAAUGACUCCUUGGGAAGGUGCUCAGGUAGCUGCCUUAGAGGUGUUGACAACCAUCUGUUACCAGAAAUGGGAAGAAAUACAAACGACGUAUAUGAGAUUGUUCCCUGCAGUUGCCUUAAGUGACCCAGUUGUGUAUCAUCACCAGACCUGAUUAAUGGAAAGCAUUCCAAUUGGGUAGGAUUCUAUUGAAUCGGCAUAUGCUCGAGUUUUGAUGGUUGUGCUAGAGUUGCAGCUUACUCAAGGGCACAACCGUCAAAUGUGGCAACAGUUGUACACUGGGAGUUAUGCAACAUUUAAGAUGAUGGAAAUGGCCAAGAAUAGGGCUUGUACUUAGGCACAAGAACGACUUGAAGAAACAAAGAUUCAAGCUGAGCGAAUUGUUGAACUAGAGCAUCAGGUGACAGAACUUCAGACGCAACACCAAGCUGAUCAGAAUCGCAUUAAGGAGCUUGAGCAUCAGCUGACUAAUGAUCAUUCAAAAUCAAAAGUUUUGAGUCAACAACAAGAAGAAACCCACUCGUAUGUUGUUACUGUUAGGGAAGAACUUAGGAAAACCAUGGGCUUCCUAAGUCAUCAGGAUCAUGUGCUUGAAGAGUUGCAUAAUACCUACCUAAUGGAAUUUCAAACAGCACAACGACCGAUCAACCAUCUGCAACAAACGGUGCAUAUGCUUAAUGUUGCCUUUUAUUAUGCCUCAACACUAGUGGAAUAAAAAGUACUUAUGGAGCAUGGCAACAUACAUCUGGCAGAUAUGAUAACUGGAGAAGAUGUAGUAAUCAACUUAGUCCUUGUUAGGCAAUAUAACUAUGUAAAUUAGUUUUGAAAGGUAGAUGUAAGGUAGACCCAUAUGGCAAUGUUAGCUAGUAAAAAUAGGUUAAACUUUGUUGUAAAGAGUUUUUCCUGUUUCACCUGGAUCAGGUAAUCUGUGAGCUUGCCUAUGGCUAUGGUGUAAGAAAGAACCGCCUGUCUCAGUGGCAACUUUUGGAUGUCUGUAGUUGUUUGCCAAAUCCCAAAAGUUAAAAUGGAUGUUCCUU